GUGAAUAUGAAGAUCACACGGAAGGCAGUGCUGAAGCCUUCACCGGAGUCAGCAUGGGGCGGCGCCAAGAAGGUUCCCAUCACCGUCUUCGACCGUGCCUCCACGGAUGGGUACAUCCCGACGGUCUUCGCGUGGAGGGCGCCGGCACCUACCAACGGCGCGCUCAAGGACGGCCUCCUCGCCACCGUCGCAAGGUUCCCGCACCUCGCAGGGAGGUUCGCCGUCGAUGACUACGGAAGGAAGUGCCUCCACCUCAACAACGCCGGGGUGCUCGUCAUUGAGGCUACUGCCGGGGCGGACCUCGCAACAGUAUUGGCGCACGACGCCUCCGCCCAUAUUGCCGAGCUAUACCCAAAAGCGAAGAAGCAUGCAGUUCUUGGUCGUGUGCAGGAACAUGCGGACGAGCCUAUCUUCCAGGUGCAGCUGACGCGGUACACCUGCGGCGGGCUUGUGAUCGGCAUGGCCAGCCAUCACCAGGUCGCCGAUGGCCAGUCCAUGAGCGGCUUCUCCGCCUCCUGGGCCAGCGCCGUCCGCACUAACUCCUCUGCCCUCCCGUCGCCGUUCCUCGACCGUGGGGCCACCGACAACCCCCGCAGCCCGCCAUUGCUGUCGUUCAACCACAGACGCAUCGAGUUCAAGGGCGAGCACAGCUCCAGCCGCUCCUACAGAGUGCUCCCCUUGGAUAGGAUCAAUAACCUGGCAGUGCACUUCCCGGGCGAGUUCGUUGCCGAGCUCAAGGCCGGCGUGGGCGCGCCAUGCACCACGUUCCAGUGCCUCCUUACGCACGCGUGGAAGAAGGUCACUGCAGCGCGUGACCUGGCCCCGGAUGAUUUCACGCAGGUGAGGGUCGCCGUAAACUGCCGAGGCCGGGCCAAGCCUCCGGUGCCCAUGGACUUCUUCGGAAACAUGGUCCUCUUGGCAUUCCCGAGGAUGCAGGUCCGCGAUCUCCUAUCCGCCAGCUACCCCGCCGUGGUUGGCGUCAUCCGUGACGCCAUUGCGUGCGUGGAUGACGAGUACAUCCAGUCGUUCGUGGACUUCGGGGAGGCGCAGCACGACGUUAAACUAGCAUCCACGGCGGCAACGCUCGGCAUGGCGUUCUGCCCUGACCUGGAGGUGGAUAGCUGGCUCGGGUUUGGCUUUCACAACCUUGACUUCGGUGGUGGGCCGCCGUGCGCCUUCCUGCCGCCGGACCUUCCCAUCGAUGGAGUAAUGAUCUUGGUGCCGUCCUGCGCAGCCAAGGGUGGCGCCCAUCUGUUCGUGGCUCUUGACAACGAGCACGUAGAAGCCGUCAAGCAGAUUUGCUAUUGCAUA
rnacentral:rRNA from 1 species